UACUAGCAGUAUGAAACAUAAGCUUAUGAAGUUAUCAGGUGUGGAGUAUUAAAUUUCGUAUACUCCACUUAUUAUGAUAAUAACAUGCAUGCAUGUAUGAAAAAUAUACACUUCUUCUUAGCAAAUGAGUUUGGACAAUAUUCGGUUGAAGUCGAGAAUGAGGUAUUUAAAGCACUUCAAGUUAAAAAAGGAAGUAUGGAAGUUAGUUGCAUGUGUAUAUGAAUGAAGUUCACCCAGAGAAAAGAUUAAAAUUUGUUUUUGUUGCUAGUAGAAAUCAUUGUUCGCUUGAAAUGUAUACUCAUCGAACAAUUGUUUCAAUAUUUCACAGGUAAUUCAAUACUAAAUACAGUAAUAUUUAAUGGGCAAACAGGUCAUUGUCAAAUACUGAUGGCCAAAUCAAAAUAUUUAAUAAACAAAGGUUUGGAGAGUUUUAUUUGGGAUCCAGGUCCAUUUAGAAAUUGGUUAAGGACUACCAGUUAGAGAGAAGGGAUUAUGCCUAUUGUUGAAGACGAAAAUGUCUGUUCCUCUCAUCUCUUUGCUUUGAGUCUAAGCUUCUCAUCUCCCCUUCUUAAUCUCUAAUCCUUAUAUUUCUCAUUGUAUUUCAGUAGUUAGUGUUGAAUUAUUAUCCGAAUCUGUAAAUUAGUUCUAGUUCAUAUUAAUACAGUAAGAAGUUUGGCCAUUUGUUACAUAUUUUUUGUUUAAUUAAUAUAUAAUAUACAUAAAAUAUGUAUAUUUUAUACUAGUAAAUUUCUAUCUUUGUAAAUGAUAUUGAAGUUUGAACCCAAUUUAGUGGUGUAAUCUAGAAUAUUAUAAUUGUGUGUUUUUUCCUGAGAAAUUAAAAUGGUGAAAGUUGGUGGAUAUAUAACAAAAGCAAGCGGAGCAAAUCGAUCACUUUGUGACACAGGCAUAUAUCAUCAGCACUCAAGAGUUCUGCACUGUCGCAUGUUAUUGUGGAAGCUACUUCUUAUCCCUUUCUCUUCGCCUUCUACCAGAUUCUUUACCUUCCCAAUGUUCUUCAGGUUCCAAUUCCUCAAUUUUACUUAAUUGUUUUCAUAAUCUCUCUUUUUUUAAUAAUUGUGUGGAGUAUGGACCAGCCUCGACUAAUUUCACGGGUAGCUGCUACUUUCACAUAUACAAGGUAACUUUAUCCACCAAAUGUUUGAAUAAAUAAGAAGAAACCACCUAGUAUUUUGGCUCUAUAUCUGAACCUGAGACCUCAUGGUUCUCAAGCCACUUCAUUAACCUCUAGGCCACAUCCCUGGGUACAUUGAUGUUCAUAAACUCUUAUGCUUAUUUUUCUGUUAUUUAUUUGGUUACCGAUGAAGCAUUUUGACCUUUUUUCUCUCUCAUAAUGUUGGUGGGUUCCGUGUCGCAUUAAUCUUACGUGUAUAGUCUAUGAUCUCUUUAUCUAGUCCUGCAGCUUUAUAUUUGUGUGGCGAUACUAAUUAGUGGAGAUUAAGUUUUAGUCUAAUUAUAGUUUAGGUGCCCCAGCGCUUUGGUCUUAUGUAAGAGUACAACACAUGAUAUGAGUUUGGCACACAUCAUACAAAAUCCUAAAAUUUAAGUGAAAAAAAAAUAAAGAGUGGACCCAUUACACACCGAGUUUCGAACCAUGCGUUAUUGACACUCGAAGAUUUCUCUGUUGUAAAAAAAGUUAGGUGUAGUUUAGGUCCAUCAUUUGUUAGCCUUGUCAGAAACUUAUAUGUCUGUAGGAAGUGUGGAAAACUUCUAGCGUUAAAGAAGCUAAACGUUUAUAAUAUUGGACUUAGGCGAGCUUAAAUGAAGCAACAUAGCUGACCCCAACUUGCUUGAAUUGAGAUGUUGUUGUUGUUGUAGCUGAUGACAGUACUAUGGGAGGACCAAUAAGAGAGUUUGUUUGCUCAAGCCUUUUGAUUUCUUACCAAUUUGAACUCUUGUAGUUUUUGUAUAAAGCAUACUUGUCAAAAAGGUUGUCAAAUGGACUUGCGAUUUACAUGUCGGUAUCAAUUUUCACCUGUCAAAACCAAUUUUGAAACAAACUUGUAUGGUCUACCUUCAUGUCUUUAAUCGCUGGAAGAAUAUAUAGCUGCAAAUGUUAAGUAUUGUAUAUGCAUGGAAGUACCAAAUAACCUUUGGAAUUUAAAAAAGAAGAGAAAGAAAUCAGGAUAUGCACGAUAGAAGAAGAGAACUAAAAUAGCCUGAAAUUCGGAAGACAUUGGUAUUUCGGUUCAUUAUUCAGGAGAAAGCAUAGUAGGUGCAACAGAUGAAGAGGCAACAAUUUCGUGUUCUCACCAAGCUUGCAAAAGAAAAAAGUGUUUGAAACCUCUCUUUGCAGUUCCUUCUGAGAUUAGAUGAAAAAUUGGAAGUGGAAAAAAAAUAUUUUUGGGAAGUCAGGUUACACGACUUGAAAUUGUUUGCGCUGAAAACUUUAUCACACCAUAGUUUUGACUUGAAAAUUCAUUAUGGCACAGUAUUAAAUCACAAGAUUCAACUGAAAUCAUGCAUUAUAUAUUCAUAUUGUGGGAGUAGAUUUUGUUAGAAGGAAAAUAAAAAAGGAUAUAAAUGUAAGUCAUGAGAUUAAGAAAAGUAUGAUAGAAACACUUGUUCCAAAUUAGUUCUUCUUACAGAUUGAGAUUCUUAUUCAUAAUUUGAGUCACUAUAUCUCUCUUCAUAUUUAUGUUCACUUCAUAAGAAUAUUGGUACACUAUGUUUUUUUAAAAAGAAAUUAAACUCCACUUACCAGGCUUUCACCUCCCAUGGUGAUGGGGGUUAGGCAUUGACCCCUACCUUGUUCAUUAAGGGACUAAAAAAGCGUACAUACAGGAAGGGGACAUAGGAAUCCACAAUUCACCGUACCUUGAUUUGCUUCGCUUGUUUGCUCAUGGAAUAUGGAGUGUCCACAAAGAUCUUCAAAAGCUCAUCCAUUGAUUCAACAUAAAGUAUUGGACUUCUAAAAAAGUUGCAGUCUAGUGCCCCUAGUGUUUCAGUCCAAUGGUAAGAGCACAACACAUAAUGCAUGGGUUUGGUACACGUGAAGAGUUUGAACCCUGCUGCCUGGUAUUUAACUAGCAAAGGAUAUAGGGCAGACCCAUUGUCCAUCGAGUUAUGAACCAUGAAGCAGCUAGCCCACAGGAGUUUUCGGUAUUGCUAUCCGUCUUCCUGAAUUGGUGCCUAUACAAGUUCUCAAGCUGAAGCUUCCAUGCUUACCCUGGCUGAGACAAGCAAGGUGCUUCCAUACGAUUCACUUAUGUAGGAGUUAAAUGUCACAAAUGUGCAUGAAACUGAAGAUUUUCUUUAUAAAUUAAUGCAUCUAUGUGGGCUGGAGUUUCUUUUAUAUCUUUAUUUCAAUGGUGUGGCUAGGGUUUAGUCCUUUGUUCUUCUGGAUAAGAAGGGCAUAGUGAGAGGAAAACUGGGUCAGUUGAGGAGAUGCUUUGGGAUACAAUUUGCUGCAGGGAGGUACCUCAGAUCUGGCCAACUGGGGAGUGAUACAUUCACUAACUGGUAGGUAUUUAUGUUUACGUUUCGAUGACCUGCUAUUUUCUACAUUGGUGAUAGUACGCCUUAUUUCUUGAUUUUACUAUAUUAUAUAAUAGGUUUUUUCUUGAUAUUACAUUUGGUUAUGUAUUUGAUAAUUCCUCACUUAUAACUACUCAAGGUUCCGUCGUCUUAUAUAUACAGAAAAGUUUUUAAUUCCCUCACAACUAGCAUGUGUUAAGAGUGGUUAAUGAAACAUUAUGAUGUACUUCUGCUUCAUAUCUUUGACCUCUUGUGCGACAAAAUGACAUACAGAUCUCCUCUUUGGCAUAUAUGCUCCUUAAAGCAAUCAACAUCUAGGCAUCAUGUGUUAGGUCAUCUACUUACAAAAAAGUCUAUUUACGAGAACUGACAUAGAACUCUGAAUAAGGCAAUGCAGACGAGCACCUGCUUAUGAUCGACAAGUUAAUAGCUAUGAAGCAGAAAUAUAUACGUGGGACAAUUGAGUUUCGUUUCUUUUUUUGUAGCUUUAACAUUGUUUUUAUCAAAAAAAGAAAAAGAAUUAUAUACUUGGGGUAAAUGACUGACGUGAACACGUGGACGGAAAACUUUGAGAACAAGGACAUGGCACUUAGCUGAAAUAUAUUAAUGUAGUUUCAGACUGAAAUCAUACUUCUCUCGAAGAAGUAAAAUAGCAGUGUAUUUAAUUAGAUGAAUCAUUUAUAUAUGUAUAUAAUUUCAAGAGCUAAGAUGUAAUGACUCAUAUAUGUACCGAUAAAAACGUUGGAUAAUCUUAACAAA